rnacentral:rRNA from 1 species
CACGUAGGGCGCAAGCGUUGUCCGGAAUUAUUGGGCGUAAAGAGCUCGUAGGCGGUCUGUUGCGUCCGCUGUGAAAACUCGGGGCUUAACCCCGAGCCUGCAGUGGAUACGGGCAGACUAGAGGUAGGUAGGGGAGAAUGGAAUUCCCGGUGUAGCGGUGAAAUGCGCAGAUAUCGGGAGGAACACCAGUGGCGAAGGCGGCACUCUGGGCCGGAACUGACGCUGAGGAGCGAAAGCGUGGGGAGCGAACAGG